CGGGAACGUCUUGCUGCUGCAGCGUCUUGCCAGAUUUAGCUGCAGUUCUCUCGGCCAGAACGAUCUUCUUGUAAUCCCGAGGAAACACCUUGAUGAAUUUAGGAAGGAGGGCGUCGAAUUCGGACAGGACCUGCUUCGACAACUUGCUGUGUGUGGCGUACUUGUGCUGGUUUAUCAUCUUCUUUAAUAUUUCGAUGUCCUCACUGUCUUCAACCCUAUCCAGGUCCACUAACUCCUUGUUGCAUCGACUCUCGAACUUGCCGUCCACGUCCAGAACGUAGGCAACACCACCACUCAUGCCGGCGGCGAAAUUUCGACCUGUUUUGCCAAGUAUGACGGCGAUACCGCCCGUCAUGUACUCACACCCGUGAU
rnacentral:lncRNA from 1 species